GGUUUGUUGGCCGAGUUACCGGACAUAUUUUUUUAACUAUAUACCCACAUGAUGAUUAUGGCUAAGUUUGGUUAAAUUUGGCCCAGUAGUUUCAGAGGAGAAGAUUUUUCUAAAGAUUACUAAGAUUUACGAAAAAUGGUUAAAAAUUGACUAUAAAGGGCAAUAACUCCUAAAGUGGUCAACUGACCAUUUUAGUCAUGUUGACUUAUUUGUAGAUCUUACUUUGUUGGACAUUAUUGCUUUUUACAGUUUAUCUCUAUCUAUAAUAAUAUUCAAGAUAAUAACCAAAAACAGCAAAAUUUCCUUAAAAUUACCAUUUCAGGGGCAGCAACCGAACAAUGGAAUAUCCGAUUCAUCUGAAAAUUUCAGGGCAGAUAGAUCUUGACCUGAUGAACAAUUUUACCCCCAUGUCAGAUUUGCUCUAAAUGCUUUGGUUUUUGAGUUAUAAGCCAAAAACUGCAUUUUACCCCUAUGUUCUAUUUUUAGCCAUGGUGGCCAUCUUGGUUGGUUGGGCGGGGCAUCGGACACAUUUUUUUAACUAGAUACCCCAAUGAUGAUUAUGGCCAAGUUUGGUUAAAUUUGGCCCAGUAGUUUCAGAGGAGAAGAUUUUUCUAAAAGAUUACUAAGAUUUACGAAAAAUGGUUAAAAAUUGACUAUAAAGGGCAAUAACUCCUAAAGUGGUCAACUGACCAUUUUGGUCAUGUUUGACUUAUUUGUAGAUCUUACUUUGCUGAAUAUUAUUGCUGUUUACAGUUUAUCUCUAUCUAUAAUAAUAUUCAAGAUAAUAACCAACUAGAGGCUCUCAAGAGCCUGUGUCGCUCACC
rnacentral:lncRNA from 1 species